rnacentral:rRNA from 1 species
CGAACGCUGGCGGCGUGCUUAACACAUGCAAGUCGAGCGGUGAAGCGCCUUCCUUUUUGGUGGGUGUGGAUGAGUGGCGAACGGGUGAGUAACACGUGAGUAACCUGCCCCCUUCUUCUGGAUAACCGCAUGAAAGUGUGGCUAAUACGGGAUAUUCUGGGUCUGUCGCAUGAUGGGUCUGGGAAAGAUAUUGUUUCGGUGGGGGAUGGGCUCGCGGCCUAUCAGCUUGUUGGUGGGGUGAUGGCCUACCAAGGCGGUGACGGGUAGCCGGCCUGAGAGGGUGGACGGUCACACUGGGACUGAGACACGGCCCAGACUCCUACGGGAGGCAGCAGUGGGGAAUAUUGCACAAUGGGCGCAAGCCUGAUGCAGCGACGCCGCGUGAGGGAUGGAGGCCUGCGGGUUGUGAACCUCUUUCGCCAGUGAAGCAGGCCUGCCUCGUUUGUGGGUGGGUUGACGGUAGCUGGAUAAGAAGCGCCGGCUAACUACGUG